rnacentral:rRNA from 1 species
CAUGCAAGUCGAGGGGAAACGACAUCGAAAGCUUGCUUUUGAUGGGCGUCGACCGGCGCACGGGUGAGUGACGCGUAUCCAACCUGCCCACCACUUGGGGAUAACCUUGCGAAAGUAAGACUAAUACCCAAUGACGUCUCUAGAAGACAUCUGAAAGAGAUUAAAGAUUUAUCGGUGAUGGAUGGGGAUGCGUCUGAUUAGCUUGUUGGCGGGGUAACGGCCCACCAAGGCGACGAUCAGUAGGGGUUCUGAGAGGAAGGUCCCCCACAUUGGAACUGAGACACGGUCCAAACUCCUACGGGAGGCAGCAGUGAGGAAUAUUGGUCAAUGGGCGAGAGCCUGAACCAGCCAAGUAGCGUGCAGGAUGACGGCCCUAUGGGUUGUAAACUGCUUUUAUAAGGGAAUAAAGUGAGUCUCGUGAGACUUUUUGCAUGUACCUUAUGAAUAAGGACCGGCUAAUUCCGUGCCAGCAGCCGCGGUAAUACGGAAGGUCCGGGCGUUAUCCGGAUUUAUUGGGUUUAAAGGGAGCGUAGGCCGGAGAUUAAGCGUGUUGUGAAAUGUAGACGCUCAACGUCUGCACUGCAGCGCGAACUGGUUUCCUUGAGUACGCACAAAGUGGGCGGAAUUCGUGGUGUAGCGGUGAAAUGCUUAGAUAUCACGAAGAACUCCGAUUGCGAAGGCAGCUCACUGGAGCGCAACUGACGCUGAAGCUCGAAAGUGCGGGUAUCGAACAGGAUUAGAUACCCUGGUAGUCCGCACGGUAAACGAUGGAUGCCCGCUGUUGGUCUGAAUAGGUCAGCGGCCAAGCGAAAGCAUUAAGCAUCCCACCUGGGGAGUACGCCGGCAACGGUGAAACUCAAAGGAAUUGACGGGGCCGCACA